GACGAACGCUGGCGGCGUGCCUAACACAUGCAAGUCGAGCGAUGAAAUCCCUUCGGGGAUGGAUUAGCGGCGGACGGGUGAGUAACACAUGGGUAACCUGCCUCAAAGUGGGGGAUAGCCUUCCGAAAGGAAGAUUAAUACCGCAUAAUAUUAGAUUUUCGCAUGAAGAACUAAUUAAAGGGGCAAUCCGCUUUGACAUGGACCCGCGGCGCAUUAGCUAGGUGGUGAGGUAAUAGCUCACCAAGGCGACGAUGCGUAGCCGACCUGAGAGGGUGGUCGGCCACGUUGGAAAUGAAACACGGUCCAGACUCCCACGGGAGGCAGCAGUGAGGAAGAUUGCACAAUGGGGGAAACCCUGAUGCAGCAACGCCGCGUGAGUGAUGAAGGUCUUCGGAUUGUAAAGCUCUGUCUUUUGGGACGAUAAUGACGGUACCAAAGGAGGAAGCCACGGCUAACUACGUGCCAGCCGCCGCCGUAAGAC
rnacentral:rRNA from 1 species